UUGCCAGCCCGCUCAGGUGUGCCAGCCGCCGCGGUAAUACAGAGGUCUCAAGCGUUGUUCGGAAUCACUGGGCGUAAAGCGUGCGUAGGCGGUUUCGUAAGUCGUGUGUGAAAGGCGGGGGCUCAACCCCCGGACUGCACAUGAUACUGCGGGACUAGAGUAAUGGAGGGGGAACCGGAAUUCUCGGUGUAGCAGUGAAAUGCGUAGAUAUCGAGAGGAACACUCGUGGCGAAGGCGGGUUCCUGGACAUUAACUGACGCUGAGGCACGAAGGGCCAGGGGAGCGAAAGGG
rnacentral:rRNA from 1 species